rnacentral:piRNA from 1 species
UGCUCUGUUUGCGGUUUGGUUA